ensembl:snoRNA
AUCCUUUUGUGGCUUAUGAGCACAAUGAUUUGGUGUUCAUGCCUAAGUGUGACACGUGCCUCCCUCUGAACCUUGCUGCAACGUUAGCACAUCACCUGUCUAACC